AUAAAUUAAUAAAAAGAAAAGUUAACAAUCAUAAAUUAAUAAAAAGAAAAGUUAACAAUCAUAAAUUUAUUAUUAUUAUUAAAUUAAUAUAAAAAUAAUAAUUAUAAAUUUAUUAUUAUUAAACUAUAAAAAUACCGUUUCUUGUCGGCUUACAUAACUCCAAAAGUGAAUUUGCGAUUGUUUCGGUGCUAAAAUCUCUUUUCCACCAAUUCUAAUUCAUUGUAGUAAGUAGAGCUUUUGAAUUUGUCAAAUUCCUAUAUAUUGGCCAAGUCCACAUAUUUGAGGACCAAAAACUUUAUAACAAAAAUGUCCAUUAAAAAAUCUCCCAAUGUAAAAAAGCCUACAAAAUUUCAUAGACUUAGAGGCUCAUAGACCCGUUUAAAAAAAUCAAUUAUUUUAUUGAAUAAAAAAUAUUUUAUUAUUUAUUUAUUUAUUUUUUUCAAUUUUUAUGGUGUUCUCAUCUAAAGUUUAAUAAAACAUAACAUAUAUGAUAUAGCAACAACUACUCCAUGCAAGUUUAUGAAUUUUCAUUAGACAAAAUAGUAUAUUUUAGUGUUUACGGGGGGAAGGAUGCAAAUAAAUAAAUUCAUCCUCACUUAGUAUUGAUUUAUGGAUUCUCAUACCAUAAUAUGUUAAUGAAUACUAAUAUAAUAAACAUUCAAAGGUAUUUGCGGACAAAGUUUCAAAUAUAACAAGUAAUCAUGCAAAAGUAUGUUACACAAAAAGAGCCAAAGGACGUUGUAGACGUAAUUAACAAGUAAAAUUAAUUGAAACGGAGCAAUGCCUUUCCAUCCAUAAGCCUCAUGAGUUAAGUUUGAAAACAAAACCAAUAGAAACAAUUACAUAAUCAAUUGAGAUAAGUUUGUAAGAUUGAAAGGUUAUAAUAAUAAAUAUUACCAUUUAGAUUUUCAAAAAUCCAUGUAAUCAAUUUCGAGUGCAAAUAACAUUUGAUAGAUUAUAAUAAUAAAUAUUACCAUUUAGAUUUUCAGAAAUUCAUGUAAUCAAUUUCAAGUGCAAAUCAACGUUUGACUGUGAUGAGAGGUAAUGAAACUGUGUUUGUUGAGAACACCUCCACCAAUAUUAUCAAUAUUAACAGAAGAAUCUAAUACUACUGAUAAGAAUACUUUCAUUAAAGAGAAUACGUGAUACUUUUUUCUCAUUAACAUUUCAUUAAAAAAGCAUCUCAAAAUCCUUUAUCAACUUCAAUUAACUUUUUUUCAAUAUAUACAUGUAAUUUACUUUUACAAUGUUAGAUGUAGGUGGAUUCUGUUGUAACAUAUUAUAAUAUAUUAAUAUUUUAGGAUAAAAAACUUCACAUUUGUUAUUUUACAUUUGAUUUCUGAAUAUUAGACAUGACUUUAAUGAGUUGGAAUUUGGGAUAAUUGAGAGAUGACAAUUUAUUGUUGAAAAGUUGUAUUGGUUAAAGUUGCACUUUGAAACAUGAACGCAGCCAUCUUCUUUCUAACAUAGUCAACUUUAGUAUGCAGCCAUCUUCGUUCUAACAUAUUCAAACUUUAGUAUGCAGCCAUCUUCUUUCUAACAUAAUCAAUUUUGUUUUGUAAAAUGUUACACGUCAAUAAAAUACAAGUUUUAAAAACUCCUCUUCUUCCAUGGUCGUAUUCUCUUAUUCUUCAGUCGUCAGGAGGACUCGAAAUCAUGUGAACAUGUAUUCUCUUCUCUAUUUUCAUUUAGUUUUGUUGUAUGUAUGCUUCUGUUAAAUACGGUAAAAAAUAAGGUGAAUGAUGUUGUUAAUUUGACUAAUUCAUAUUGUUAAUUUAGUGACCAAUGUUUAUAAUUAUUAUUAGUUUUACUCGUGAGUGACCGUGAAUAAUAUGUUUAGAUUUGUAGGUGGGGCUUUAGGAUACAAUCCUCUUAAAUCGUUGUUUAACGACAUGGCAAAAGACAAAAAGAAGGAACUAUAAUUUAAUAAAUAAAAUCAGAAAACUUAAAAGAAUUUUCUUAAUUUUUUUGGUAUAUACGUGAAGACAUGACCAUGAUUUUCUAAAAUAUAUUAUUUUCUAAAGAAAUGCCCAUAAUUUUUUUUGUCAGGUAUGCGAAAACAUAAAAGAUGGGUUAGUUAAGCCGGUUACAGUCCAAAAAUCAAAGACUAUACUAAUAAUAAUUGAAAACAGAUAAUAAAUAUUAAUAAAUAAAUAAAAAUAAAAUAAUUAUGCCAAAAAAAAAAAACACAUGGGGUUUCAGAACCUGUUCCAGUAACUAAAGGAAUUUUUGUUGUUGGGUGUUACAAAAAUUGGGAGUUUCAUGGUUAUGGUGGAUGGAGUUGUGGAAUUAGGUUUUAUUUGAGAAGAAAAAGAAUUGAGUUAGAGAAGAAUGGAUGGUUU
rnacentral:lncRNA from 1 species